CUUGGUCAUUUAGAGGAAGUAAAAGUCGUAACAAGGUUUCGGUAGGUGAACCUGCGGAAGGAUCAUUAUUGAAUAUUCUUGAUGGGGUUGUAGCUGGCUCUUCGGGGCCAUGUGCACGCCUGUCUUGACUUUUAUUCAUCCACCUGUGCACCUUUUGUAGUCUUGGGGGGUUGAGAGCAGUCAAUAAUCGGAUGACCAUUUGGUCACUCCGGGUGUGAGGAAUGCUGAGUGCGAAAGCAUACAGCUCUUCUCAAAGUGACUUGUAAUCCUCUCCUUCAAGUACUAUGUAUUCAUAUACCCAUAGUAUGUUGUAGAAUGUGAUCAAUGGGCCUAAGUGCCUAUAACAAUCAUAUACAACUUUCAGCAACGGAUCUCUUGGCUCUCGCAUCGAUGAAGAACGCAGCGAAAUGCGAUAAGUAAUGUGAAUUGCAGAAUUCAGUGAAUCAUCGAAUCUUUGAACGCACCUUGCGCUCCUUGGUAUUCCGAGGAGCAUGCCUGUUUGAGUGUCAUUAAAUUCUCAACCCUUCUAGCUUUUGUGAGCUGUGAUAGGGCUUGGAACUUGGGAGUUUGCGGGCCUAUAGAAGGUCAGCUCUUCUGAAAUGCAUUAGCGGAACCGUUUGCAGUCCCGUCACUAGUGUGAUAAUUAUCUACACUGUGAUGAUUGCUCUCUAGUUUGUUCAGCUGCUAAUUGUCCAUCAACGGACAACUCUUAAUGAACCUCUUGACCUCAAAUCAGGUAGGACUACCCGCUGAACUUAAGCAUAUCAAUAAGCGGAGGA
rnacentral:rRNA from 1 species